rnacentral:misc_RNA from 1 species
GAUGAAGAACGUAGCGAAAUGCGAUAAGUAAUGUGAAUUGCAGAAUUCAGUGAAUCAUCGAAUCUUUGAACGCACAUUGCGCCCCUUGGUAUUCCGAGGGGCAUGCCUGUUCGAGCGUCAUUACACCACUCAAGCACUGCUUGGUAUUGGGCACUCGUCCGUCGAAAGACGGGCGUGCCUCGAAGACCUCGGCGGGGUUUCUCCAACUUCGGGCGUAGUAGAGUUAAAUCAAAACGUCUUAUAAGCUUGGUGAAAUCUCAUUGCCGUUAAACCUUUUUUUUUCAGGUUGACCUCGGAUCAGGUAGGGAUACCCGCUGAACUUAAGCAUAUCAAUAAGCGGAGGA